AUGCAGGCUUGGUGAACAGAAGAGUAUUCUUAAUAUUUAAAUCUAACAGUUAAAAAACUUUUUACUGCUAGUGUACAUGUAAAAUCAUACAAAAAACGUGUUACUUGAAAUAAAAUAAACAUUAACUGAAAUAAAAUAAAUUAAAAUAUAAAAAAAAUAAAUUUCUCAUUUUAAUUUAGGUUAACUUAAUGUGGAAAAAUAGCUAAAAAUAAAAAUAAAAUUAAAAAAGUAAAAUAUGAAUUGAAACCAAAACAGAAACUGAUUUAAAUGAUUAUGAUAUGCCUACAAAAAAACACUUGAUUUGAUUUAUUCAUAAUGAAGGCGCACUCGCUCCUCCAGGCCUGAAGAGGCGCUGCGCUCCCCCGCAGUCACACGUCACCAGACUCCAAAUCGCAUAGAAGAAGUCUUUAAACUGCUUCUGAGGAACCCACGAAUAUUAUUUUCACGCGUUUAUUGUUUUAUUAAGUGAAAUUAAAUCAUGGCGUCAACAAAAGAGAUUUUAGAGAUGGAUCUUUACGCUUUAUUGGGGAUCCAGUCGAGCGCUUCAGAGAAACAGCUGCGGCAGAAACAGUGGAGAAGGAGAUGUAAAGAACGGCGCGGUGAUAUCGGGCCGCAUGUUUGCGGUGAUGCGGCUGGGUCUGAGGUGGGCUGGACUGGCUUACCAUGGUUUACUUGUUGACAUAACACAUACAGUAUAUGCGUUAUUUUUUCCUUAAAAUUACAAGUAUUUAUAAUGGAAUAUUUGUAAUAUUAAUCAAGGUUUCAUGCAGCAAAAACCAGCCCUGUUUGUCAUGAUCAUUUCCUCACUCUCUCUCUCUGUAUUCUUCUUCAGGGAGGUUCAAGUUACUUAACUCUUAGUGUUGAUAUGUAAAUAUGAACAGUCAUAGUUUAACGAGUGUCUAUGACGUCACAUGAUUUCUGAAUCAGUUAUUUUAGCAGGUUCAGCAAAUGUAUGUCCUUGUUUGGAAGGAGCAAGAAACUCCUGUUUUCCAGCAUAUGAGCCUUUAAGAGAAACCCUGCAGUAAAUCAUUAAAACUGGGCACUAAAUCUGGUUAUGAGUACGAGGGCGAGUCUCACGCAAGCCUGUCAAGAACACGACUAGAUCAUAUUUCACUUCCAAUCACAAGAAAUUAUAGUCUGCAAAGGACAAUUAAGUGCAUUUAACUCCACCAAAUUCUCCUCAUCGUCUUAUUCUCAUUUCUAUUACUGUAUGGCAAAAGUUUAGUUUAUA
rnacentral:lncRNA from 1 species